rnacentral:rRNA from 1 species
CCUACGGGCGGCAGCGGUGGGGAAUAUUGGACAAUGGGGGGAACCCUGAUCCAGCCAUGCCGCGUGUGUGAAGAAGGCCCUCGGGUUGUAAAGCACUUUCAGUGAGGAAGAACGCCUGGUGGUUAAUACCCAUCAGGAAAGACAUCACUCACAGAAGAAGCACCGGCUAACUCCGUGCCAGCAGCCGCGGUAAUACGGAGGGUGCGAGCGUUAAUCGGAAUUACUGGGCGUAAAGCGCGCGUAGGUGGCUUGAUAAGCCGGUUGUGAAAGCCCCGGGCUCAACCUGGGAACGGCAUCCGGAACUGUCAAGCUAGAGUGCAGGAGAGGAAGGUAGAAUUCCCGGUGUAGCGGUGAAAUGCGUAGAGAUCGGGAGGAAUACCAGUGGCGAAGGCGGCCUUCUGGACUGACACUGACACUGAGGUGCGAAAGCGUGGGUAGCAAACAGGAUUAGAUACCCUGGUAGUC